rnacentral:rRNA from 1 species
GGGCUGCAGUGGGGAAUAUUGGACAAUGGGCGAAAGCCUGAUCCAGCCAUGCCGCGUGAGUGAUGAAGGCCCUAGGGUUGUAAAGCUCUUUCGCCAGGGACGAUAAUGACGGUACCUGGAUAAGAAGCCCCGGCUAACUUCGUGCCAGCAGCCGCGGUAAUACGAAGGGGGCUAGCGUUGUUCGGAAUCACUGGGCGUAAAGCGCACGUAGGCGGAUCUUUAAGUCAGGGGUGAAAUCCCGAGGCUCAACCUCGGAACUGCCUUUGAUACUGGAGGUCUCGAGUCCGGGAGAGGUGAGUGGAACUGCGAGUGUAGAGGUGAAAUUCGUAGAUAUUCGCAAGAACACCAGUGGCGAAGGCGGCUCACUGGCCCGGUACUGACGCUGAGGUGCGAAAGCGUGGGGAGCAAACAGGAUUAGAUACCCGUGUAGUC